CCUACGGGAGGCAGCAGUGGGGGAUAUUGCACAAUGGGGGAAACCCUGAUGCAGCGACGCCGCGUGAGUGAAGAAGCACCUCGGCGCGUAAAGCUCUGUCAGCAGGGAAGAAAAUGACGGUACCUGACGAAGAAGCCCCGGCUAACUACGUGCCAGCAGCCGCGGUAAUACGUAGGGGGCAAGCGUUAUCCGGAUUUACUGGGUGUAAAGGGAGCGUAGACGGCGAGACAAGUCAGGAGUGAAAGCCCGGGGCUCAACCCUGGGACUGCUUUUGGAACUGCCUGGCUGGAGUGCAGGAGGGGUAGGCGGAAUUCCUGGUGUAGCGGUGAAAUGCGUAGAUAUCAGGAGGAACACCGGUGGCGAAGGCGGCUUGCUGGACUGCAACUGACGUUGAGGCUCGAAAGCGUGGGGAGCAAACAGGAUUAGAUACCCCUGUAGUC
rnacentral:rRNA from 1 species